UUACGGCGAUAUCACGUUGAAACAUUGCUUCUCGUGCUAUCACUGAAGUUAAACAACGUCGAGGCUGGUCAGUACCUAGAUGGGUGACCGCUUAGGAACACCAGGAACUGUAAG